rnacentral:lncRNA from 1 species
CUUUAAUUUUAAUGUUUAUUAUAAGUUUGAUUAAAAUUCUAGGUUUAAUUCAAUUAAAGUGGAUAUGUACAUAGUUCUAAAAACUUGAAAUUUUUUAGAUUUAAAUUUAGAUCUUAACCCUAAACUCCAAAAUUCAAGAUUUGCAAAAUACAAUAUAUAUAUAUAUAAGUUAAGUCUAGAAUGUGGGUAAAAAUUGUAGUGUAUUAAAUUUUAGAAAAGUUUUGAUUUGAAUUUAGAUUUAAAGUUUGGAGUUUAGAAUAAAGUUUUGAGUAUAGGGUUUGAGGGUUAAGGGUUUGGAGUAUUGAUUUAAGAUUUGAGAUUAACUUUUGAAAAUAUUAAUUUUGUAGUUUAUAUUUAAGAUAUGAAGUUAAAUUUAAGAUUUAAUGUUAAAAUUUUAGAAUUUAAAGUUUUUGUUUAGAGUUUAGGGGUUGUGUUAAAAGUUUAGGGUUUAGGUUUAGUGUUAAGGUUUUUGGAGGCAAAUAAAAUAGAGUGAGUGGGAAAGUGAAACAAGGGUGAAAGGGAAAAUCAAUUAUUUUCUGCUUUAAUUAUGCAUAGCGUUUCAAAACUGAAAGUGCUAUGUAUACUAAGUUUAGAAAAAACGUUUACGGAACUAAAAUCGGACCAACUAAAGAUAGCGUUUGCAUUUUCACAAAUGCUAUCUAAAAGUAAAAGGUAUGUAAACCAUAGCACAAUCGAAAAAACGUUAUACUGUUUUGCUAUUAAAACCCAAAUUUCUUGUAGUGAAUGUAAAUUCUAAACAGUAAAUUACGACAAUUGCUAGAGGGAUAAAAGAAAUAACAUCCAGUUAACAUAUAUAUUGGACAUAUGUUUCAUUAAUCACAUUGUUCAUAUCUAAUAAGUUAAGUAAUGUAUACUUGUUAUCUGGAAAUCAAUAUUGUUAGUGGGUUUUUCCGAUCAGUGAUCGGUUAUCACUAUAGAUCUCAAUCCAAAGAUUGUUUGAGUAGAUAAUGUGAUGUUUGUUGGUUCACUCAAAGCGAAUAAUACAUGUAACGCAGUUG